UACGUAGGGUGCAAGCGUUGUCCGGAAUCAUUGGGCGUAAAGAGCGUGUAGGCGGCUCGAUUAGUCCGCUGUAAAAGUCCAGGGCUCAACCCUGGGAUGCCGGUGGAAACUGUCGGGCUAGAGUCCGGGAGAGGCGAGUGGAAUUCCUGGUGUAGCGGUGAAAUGCGCAGAUAUCAGGAAGAACACCCGUGGCGAAAGCGGCUCUCUGGAACGGUACUGACGCUGAGACGCGAAAGCGUGGGGAGCGAACAGG
rnacentral:rRNA from 1 species